rnacentral:lncRNA from 1 species
CUUAGUUUGCAGGUGGCAUCGCAGUCGAGUCUUGGAUUCUACUUUAAGGACUUGUGUUUGACAUCAGAGUCUAUAUCUUGGAUCCUUGCACUUAACAUGAAAGACCCACCACCCAGAUGCUGGGAAAGUACCGUGGGGGCUAACUGA